CCUACGGGAGACUGCAGUGGGGAAUCUUCCGCAAUGGGCGAAAGCCUGACGGAGCAACGCCGCGUGAUCGAAUGAAGGCCUUCGGGUUGUAAAGAUCUGUUGACAGGGACGAAUAAGCAAUGCAAAUAGUUUUGUGUAUGACGGUACCUGUUUAGAAAGCUCCGGCUAACUACGUGCCAGCAGCCGCGGUAAUACGUAGGGAGCAAGCGUUGUCCGGAAUUACUGGGCGUAAAGGGCGCGUAGGUGGGCGCUUAAGUCAGGUGUGAAAACUCCGGGCUCAACCUGGAGACUGCACUUGAAACUGGGUGUCUUGAGGGCAGGAGAGGAAAGUGGAAUUCCUAGUGUAGCGGUGAAAUGCGUAGAUAUCACGAAGAACUCCGAUUGCGAAGGCAGCCUGCUGGACUGUAACUGACGCUGAUGCUCGAAAGUGUGGGUAUCAAACAGGAUUAGAUACCCUAGUAGUC
rnacentral:rRNA from 1 species